rnacentral:rRNA from 1 species
UGGAAGUUGAAAAAGCGUAACAAGCGAUUUCUGCAGGUGAACCUGCAGACAGGAUCACGUUAGUGAAUUUCACGAGUGAACUCCAGCAUCGUAGAUGGAUCCCGACCCUCACAUUAUCCACAUACACUUGUGCACUGUUGGUUGGGUGUGAACCUUUGGUUUAUCGCCCGCCAACGCCAAUUAUACAAACUCUGAGAACUAUGAAUGUGAAUUUAACUUGCCAAUUUUUGGCGAAAUUAAAUACAACUUUCGACAACGGAUCUCUUGGUUCUCCCAUCGAUGAAGAACGCAGCGAAUUGCGAUAAGUAAUGUGAAUUGCAGAAUUCAGUGAAUCAUCGAAUCUUUGAACGCACCUUGCGCUCCCUGGUAUUCCUAGGAGCAUGCCUGUUUGAGUGUCAUGAAUUCCUCAAACCCCAAUGUUUUGCAAAAUUCAUUGCUUGGGUUUGGUUGUGGGCCUAUAUUGCUGCUUCACGGCAGCUGGCCUUAAAGAUAUUAGCUGGACUCUCCGAGACUCUUGGAUAGUUCCACUUGAUGUGAUAAAUUUGCAUCGGUGGGUCAAGACUAUGCUUGGGAAGUGUGAGAAGUCUGCUUCUAAUCCGGCGAGAGGUUCCAUCCUCGUAGCGCACAGAUAAAUUUAGCAACUCUGGCCUCAAAUGCAGGUAGGACUACCCGCUGAACUUAAGGCAUCAUCAUAAGCGGAGAGGAAA